rnacentral:rRNA from 1 species
CAAAUUUUGAUCUGAAAUCAGGUAGGAUUACCCGCUGAACUUAAGCAUAUCAAUAAGCGGAGGAAAAGAAACUAACAAGGAUUCCCUCAGUAACGGCGAGUGAAGCGGGAAGAGCUCAAAUUUAAAAUCUGGUUUACUUGUAAGCCCGAGUUGUAGUCUGAAGAAACGUUUUCCAUAAGCACUGAGGCAAAAGUCCCUUGGAACAGGGCAUCAUAGAGGGUGAGAAUCCCGUCCAUGGUCUCAAGUUGUUUAUUUUGUGAUACGUUUUCAAAGAGUCAGGUUGUUUGGGAAUGCAGCCUAAAAUGGGUGGUAAAUUUCAUCUAAAGCUAAAUAUUGGCGAGAGACCGAUAGCGAACAAGUACCGUGAGGGAAAGAUGAAAAGAACUUUGAAAAGAGAGUUAAACAGUACGUGAAAUUGUUGAAAGGGAACCGUUUGAAGCCAGUCUUACUUGCUCGUGAUCAAUUUUUGCUUCGGCAUGAAUGCACUCUCGGGUAUGGUAGGCCAACGACAGUUUAGAAUGCGAGAAAAAAAUUUGGGAAAUGUGGCCUUCGGGUGUUAUAGUCCCUUAUAAAAUAUCGUGUUCUGGACUGAGGAUCGCAGCAAAAAUGUGGGCAGGUGGAUUUCUGUGGUAACUGUCGGUUAGGACAACUUGUUGACCUAGUCUUCCUUAGCCUCACUAUUUACCUUGCUUCUAAUUUGCUUAGGUCGUUGGCAUAAUGGCUUUAAAUGACCCGUCUUGAAACACGGACCAAGGAGUCUAACAUAUAUGCGAGUAUUUGGGUGGCAAACCCAUAUGCGCAAUGAAAGUGAAAUUAGGUGCCAAACCUUCACGGGUGGCAGCAUCGGCCGGCUCUGACGUUUUAACUGACGAGUCUGAGCAGAAGCAUACAUGUUGGGACCCGAAAGAUGGUGAACUAUGCCUGAAUAGGGUGAAGCCAGAGGAAACUCUGGUGGAGGCUCGUAGCGAUUCUGACGUGCAAAUCGAUCGUCAAAUUUGGGUAUAGGGGCGAAAGACUAAUCGAACCAUCUAGUAGCUGGUUCCUGCCGAAGUUUCCCUCAGGAUAGC